GUCCAACAGAAAUGGGUUAGUAUAUUACACGAGUAUUUCUAAUCCCUUUUUUUUAUUUUAGAAAAAAAUAAAAUUACGCAGAAAAAAGGAUCACAAAAGUAUUAUUAAAAUAUAGUCAGAUAGAUAAAUAGUUAGAUCAGAAAAAUAGAUAUCUUUUUUUUCCUUUUAGACCGCCGAACGCACCACGACGUCCGCCCCGUCUUGUGAUGGAGAUCAUAAGCGUAGAAGAUUCGGAUAGUUUGGUGCAACUUCUGAACGAUAGCACCUUUGAGGAGGAACAGUAAGCAAAUCUCUCUCUCUCUCUC